GAAGACGGCGAGUGGAGGCUCGGGAGGGGCUGCGUGUGCGCGGAGGCGGGCUGUGGCCCGUGGCCGCCGCCGGAGCCUUUCGCUUGCGGUGAUUUUGGGCUCCCUCGGUUGGCAGUGUUGAUGUGUGCCUGUGAGUUGUGAGCGAGGCAGAUUUCCUCGCGUGGCCGGCACGACCUUCACCUUUGCAGAAGGCAACCGGGACCCUCAGUUGAUUCCAGUUCAAAAGUUGCUGUGGUCCUGGAAAUGAGGAUUCUGGGCAAAACAAGAAAUUGGGUGAAUGUCUCUCUGUCACUCAGGCUGGAGUACAGUGGUGUGAUCUUGGCUUACUGCAACCUCGGCCUCCUGGGUUCAAACAAUUCUCCUGCCUCAGCCUCCUGAGUAGCUGGAAUUACAGGCACGCACCACCACGCCUGGAUAAUUUUCAUGUUUUUAGUAGAGACAGGGUUUCACCGUGUUGGCCAGGCUGGUCUCGGACUCCUGACCUCAGGUGAUCCACCCGCCUCAGCCUCCCAAAGUGCUGGGAUUACAGGUGUGAGCCACCUCGCCCAGCCAAUAUUUUGUAUGUUAAAUACAUUAUGUGCUUCAUUCUUACAAUAAAGUCAGCUAGAGAAAGAAAA